CAAGGAGAUAGAGUUGGAGAUCGAACAAACUGAGGAAGGGUAGAAUGUGCCGGGAUCGGUUCCGAAUUGAGGGAUGCAGGUUGGAUAGAAAGUGGCAAUCUCCUAGGACUCAUGCGUUUUCUUUGAAUUUUCAGUUAGGAUGGUUCUUCACCUGAAAAGAUGUGGCUUUAUAUCAAUGAGGUAAAAAAUUCAUCAGAGUUUUAUGUAUUUUUUUUCAAUAUUUUAUGACUGUAGGUCGUAAGUCGAGGGCGGCCAUAACAUGAGGUUAUUACUUUCAAGACAUUUGAUUUUAUAAUAGAAACGAGAUGACUAUUUUGAUGAUUUUUUUAGAUGGGUUUCUAACUGGUGGUGUAGGCAGCGUCCAAGUUGAUAAAGACUACAGUGGACCAAUUUUGGAGCAAUACAGAAUUGAAAGAAAUUCAUGAGAAGAAGGAGAGGGUGGACGAUGGAAAUGUUAGAGAGUGCUCUAGCUAGGCACGGGUAAUUUAAAAGUGGUAUGGCAUUAUAUAUUUAUAGUCAAGUGAUCUCAAACCUGUGUAAUUAGUUAGCUUUUUCGUAUAUACUUGUAAUUACAUUAAUAACUAGUUAAUUAAUUAUAUGAAGUUCACCUUAAUUUUUCAUGUCAGAAGGGGAAGGGCAUGUGACCUCUACAAUGUUUGUGUUGUCUUUUUUGAGAGAGGGUACUAUUGCCAAUAUAAUCUCAUGAGAAGUAUAAGAAGUAUCGGAAGAAAUUCAUGAGAAGAAGGAUAGGGUGGAGGAUGGAAAUACUAAAGAGUACUUUAUGCAUGAGUAAUUUAAAAGUGGUACAAGUGAUCUCAAAACAUUCCAUAUGUAAUUACUUAGUUUUUCAUGUAGGGUUGUUCCAUUCAUUUAAGGAUUGAGAAAAAAAGUUGUCUCUUUUAAAUUCUAGUUUAUAUGGUUGUUUCAUUUAAUGAUUGAGAAAAAGGUUCUCUUUUGAAUUUUUUGUGCUUGUUUGUGAAGUCAUUCUUUUGAAACGUGCAUUUUUUAUCUUUACGUUAUGAGAUACUUCGUGGUUGUAUUCUAAAUUAAAAAAUAAUAAAUAAAUAAAACCCUUGGUCUCUAUUUUGUUUCUUACAUAUAUUUUGAAACUAAUUUUGCAAAAAAAUGACCGAAGAGCGGUUGAAUUGAUGACAAUUAUGUAGUUUUGUGAAAAAUAUACAAACAUGGUCGAGGAGCGGUUGGACUGAUGACAUGUAUGUAGUUUUGUUGAAAAUAUACAAACGGAUUCUACUAAAACUAUACAAAAUGAUUCUACAUGUAUUUGAAACUGAUUCUACAAAAAUGGUCGAAGAUGGAUUGAACUGAUUAUGCAAAAAUGAUCGAGGAUUGAUUUGACUAAUUCUGUAAAAAUGGUGGAAGAGUACAUGUUGAACUAAUUCUACAAAAAUGGUCAAUGACGAGUUGAACUGAUUUUGUAAAAAUAGUGGAGGACGAGAUGAAAGCAAAAAUGGUAUGGUGAACUGAUUCUGCAAAAAUGGUCGAGGACAAGCUGAACUAAUUAUACAAAAAUAGUCGAAGAUGAGUUGAACUGAUUCUGCAGUUUUGGUCAAAGAAGAUUGAAUUUAAUUCUGCAGAAAUGAUCGAAGAUUGGUUGAACUUGAUUAUGCAGGACAGGUUGAACUUGAUUUUACAGAAAUGGUUGAAGACGGGUUGAAACUGAUUAUGCAAAAAUGGUUGAGGACAGGUUGAACUAAUUAUGCAAAAAUGGUCGUGGACGGUUGAACUGAUUCUGCAAAAAUGAUAAAAAACAUAUUGAACUAAUUAUGCAAAAUUGGUCAAUGACAGGUUGAACUGAUUCUGCAAAAUAUGGUCGAAGACUAGUUGAACUGAUUCUGCAAAAGUGAAAUAGGAAGGUUGAACUAAUUCUGCAAAAAUAGUCGAAGACGGGUUGAACUGAUUCUGCAAAAUUGGUUGAAAAUGGGUUGAACUAAUUCGGCAAAAGUGGUCGAGGACGAUUGGUAAUGACAGAUUGAAUUGAUUCUAGUAAUGAAUGAUACAAACUAAUUCUUUAUCUAUUUUCAAAAUUGAUUCGGCAGAAAUAGUUGAGAAUGUGUUGAGUUUAUGACACAUUAAUUUGUUGGAGUUGUGAAGGUUGAAUUCUAUUAACAACUCUAAAGCAUUAGGGGCAUAGCUGGCAUUUUAAAACUUUUUUUAUCCAUGUUUUUUUGUUGGGCUUUAGUUGUUUUUAUGUUUUUGUCUCUUCUUGACAUGAUUAAAAACUAAUAGAGUUUCUUGAAAUAUAGUGAAAAUUUUUGUUUAUGUAUAAAGCUCCCAAAAAACAAGGAUAAUAUAUCUCAAUUAAUGAAACUCUCUUUGUCAACCAAAAGAGGGUGAAAAGACUACUCAAUCUUCUAUCACACACAAAAAAUGAUGGGCAAUAAUGUAAUUUCACAUGUCCAAAUUUUACUGUUUUUUAUUAAAACAUCACCUACGUGUGAUGUUAAAAUACCUCCAAUAUUGAUACCCAA
rnacentral:lncRNA from 1 species